rnacentral:rRNA from 1 species
UAAGGAAUAUUGGGCAAUGGUCGAAAGACUGACCCAGCCAUGCCGCGUGCAGGAUGAAGGCCCUAUGGGUUGUAAACUGCUUUUAGCCGGGAAUAAACACCCGUUUUAUAACGGGCCCGAAGGUACCGGCUGAAUAAGCAUCGGCUAACUCCGUGCCAGCAGCCGCGGUAAUACGGAGGAUCCAAGCGUUAUCCGGAUUUAUUGGGUUUAAAGGGUGCGUAGGCGGCUUAUUAAGUCAGGGGUGAAAGACGGUGGCUCAACCAUCGCAGUGCCCUUGAUACUGAUGAGCUUGAAUACACUAGAGGUAGGCGGAAUGUGACAAGUAGCGGUGAAAUGCAUAGAUAUGUCACAGAACACCGAUUGCGAAGGCAGCUUACUAUGGUGUCAUUGACGCUGAGGC